AGCAUGCUGAUUAAGGUUGCUUGGUUUUUUACUAAACAUUAACUGAAUGAAAACGGGUAGUCCUUGUUCUGCUUGGGGGGCUUUAAGGAAGCAAAUGGACUUUCAGAACAGAGAUUGUCAAUAAAGCUUUCUGGAAGUUACAUGGAGAUUCAUGAUAAGAAUUUUGGAUUCACACACUGAAUUUGGCAUAAAUGUUUUCAAAGAAAUUCAUAAUCUGCGUGUUUUCUGAGAUGUGGUACAUGGAAUUCAGAGAGCUCCAACAUUGGAAUAUGAGUGAUCUGAAGCAAAACUCUGGUUAUGUAACCCUGAAUUCACUUACCAGUUCAUGCCAGCCAAGUCUCUGACCCUUGGUUUUCCUUUUCAUGGGACCGAGCUAAUGACAUUCAUUUCACAGGGUUGUGGAGAGGAUUAGUUCUCAUGUAUAAAGUGCCCCAAAUAGUGAAGAGUUCCCAGCAAACAAUCAUUAUAGGAUAUUUCUUAUUGUUUGUUUUUUCUCCCUUUUUCAUGCUUUCUUAUUACUAUCCACAAUAGGGGUUGCCUCUCUUCACAAUUGCUGUGUAAGUGUCUUACCAAUGGGUUUCAGCCCCGAGCAAGUUCACUAUGGAUUCAAUGUGACCAAAGAAGUUGACAGCAAAACGUUCUUUGGGGUGAAAGGGUUUAUUAUCCGCUUGUUCUCCAGCGGUAGGUCGAACACUAGCGUCUCUGCCUCUGCCCAGAGCACUGGGCUGAGCUCUCUAUAUAGUGCAAUAAUAGCUUAUUGCCUAAAAGGUGUGGAAGCGGCAGCCCAGGAACAUCCAGUUACAUCAUCAGGUGCUUUAAGUUCAGUGAGGAUCCUGGCCAUAGGAACCCCAACUUCCCUAUAGUCCACCCCUCCGGGAUUCUUGCCUUAUAAUCUACACUCUUUUGAUCUUCCACAAUGGUCCCUGUGCGAAAAAGCUGGAGCACUGUAACCAGGUUCCACAAUAGCAACAGAAGAUAACAACAAC